rfam:Biomphalaria glabrata isolate BB02 unplaced genomic scaffold LGTN_random_Scaffold2175, whole genome shotgun sequence.
AUGGCUGAGCGGUAAAGCGCUUGGCUUCCGAGCCGGGAAUCCUAGGUUCGAAUCCUGGU